UACAGAGGUCUCAAGCGUUGGUCGGAUUCAUUGGGCGUAAAGGGUGCGUAGGUGGCAUGGUAAGUCGGAUGUGAAAUCCCGGGGCUCAACCCCGGAACUGCAUUCGAUACUGCUGCGCUAGAGUACUGGAGAGGAGAUUGGAAUUUACGGUGUAGCGGUGAAAUGCGUAGAUAUCGUAAGGAAGACCAGUGGCGAAGGCGGGUCUCUGGACAGUUCCUGACGCUGAGGCACGAAGGUCAGGGGAGCAAACGGG
rnacentral:rRNA from 1 species